rnacentral:lncRNA from 1 species
UUGUUCAACAAGACCAGACUUAACUUCCGUUGAAAUAAUUUCUUAAGAUUCGAAUCACUGCCGCGUUUGGAUAGGAUUCUGUGGCGAAAUUGUCGGUACCGGUUGGACUGCGUAAAUGCACGCGAGUGUUUACAGUUAAUCGAAUCUGGUGGUAAGUUUGAAUCGUUACUUUUGUAAUUUCAAAGCAUUUUCGGUUCUUUACCAAACACUUUAGUUUUGAAAUUAUUUUUUUGUUUUCCAAAUACUCGAUUCUGCUUCAUUGGUUUGUUGUUCAACAAAUAUUAACACCGAACAACUAUUGAUGAUUAGAGAGUUGUUCAAGAAGUGGGAGAUGUCUAGAAGCAGCGCUAAUGAAAAAGGUAUGUUGAAAUUGUUGGGUAGACAAUAUUUGUGUACAUCCACUUGGUUAUAUUUUAUACCAUAGCGUUUUUUUGUAGGGUUUGGAAAUGGGGGAUAACUAUUGUUAUGUCGUUUUCUGUGUAAUUUUGGUCCCUCCACAAAGUUAUUUAUAGGAAUUUUUGUCAGUUUACAUUAUAAUAGUACACAUGAGGUCGCAUUAUGUUGGUAUCUGAGCUUACAAGGAUUAUUGAAAUUGUUAUGGAGAAAAAAGAUGCUGGGAAUGUUUACUCGUGGGGACCACUGUGUUAUUGGGAUGUUUGCCCCAAUUAAUAUCUUAUACUAAUUGGCAGCCAACCAAAUAAAAUUUAGUUAUUAUAUAGUAUAAAUGAAUUCCAGUUGAAAUUUGUAGUAUUUUCUAACUAUAUUCACUCUUAUGUAAGAAUGUUAAUCUGAAUCUUAAUAAAGAGUGAAUCCCUUUAAAUUUAUGUGUUCCACUAACGAAUAUAUGAUCUCAUGUAUCUGAAGCAGGUGAUGAACCACAUAACCUAGAUCCAUCAACAGAGAUUGUUGUCGCGCCUAAGUCACGGAUGU